UACAGAGGGGGCAAGCGUUGUUCGGAAUUACUGGGCGUAAAGGGCGCGUAGGCGGCCUUCUAAGUCGAACGUGAAAUCCCCGGGCUCAACCCGGGAACUGCGUCCGAUACUGGAAGGCUUGAAUCCGGGAGAGGGAUGUGGAAUUCCAGGUGUAGCGGUGAAAUGCGUAGAUAUCGAGAGGAACACCGGUGGCGAAGGCGGCCUUCUGGACAGUGACUGACGCUGAGACGCGAAAGCGUGGGGAGCAAACAGG
rnacentral:rRNA from 1 species